rnacentral:tRNA from 1 species
GCCCUUGGCUCAGUGGUAGAGCACUUGGUCAGCAUGCAGAAGGUUCCAGGUUCAAUCCCUGGCAUCUCCA